GGUAAGGACCAUAGCUCAGUGGCGGAGUAUCUGCUUCGCAUGCAGAACAUCACAGGUUCAAUCCCUGGCAUUGCCA